CANUCCGCCUGGGGAGUACGACCGCAAGGUUGAAACUCAAAGGAAUUGACGGGGGCCCGCACAAGCGGUGGAGCAUGUGGUUUAAUUCGAAGCAACGCGAAGANCCUUACCAGGUCUUGACGUCCCGAUGCUAUUCUUAGAGAUAGGAAGUUACUUCGGUACAUCGGAGACAGGUGGUGCAUGGUUGUCGUCAGCUCGUGUCGUGAGAUGUUGGGUUAAGUCCCGCAACGAGCGCAACCCUUAUUGUUAGUUGCCAUCAUUAAGUUGGGCACUCUAGCGAGACUGCCGGUAAUAAACCGGAGGAAGGUGGGGAUGACGUCAAAUCAUCAUGCCCCUUAUGACCUGGGCUACACACGUGCUACAAUGGUCGGUACAACGAGUUGCGAGCCGGUGACGGCAAGCUAAUCUCUGAAAGCCGAUCUCAGUUCGGAUUGGAGGCUGCAACUCGCCUCCAUGAAGUCGGAAUCGCUAGUAAUCGCGGAUCAGCACGCCGCGGUGAAUACGUUCCCGGGCCUUGUACACACCGCCCGUCACACCACGAGAGUUUGUAACACCCGAAGUCGGUGAGGUANCCUUUUAGGG
rnacentral:rRNA from 1 species